UUACUCAGUUCAGAUUGCAGGCUGCAACCCGCCUGCAUGAAGUCGGAAUUGCUAGUAAUCGCGGAUCAGCAUGCCGCGGUGAAUACGUUCCCGGGCCUUGUACACACCGCCCGUCACACCAUGGGAGCCGGUAAUACCCGAAGUCAGUAGUCCAACCUCGUGAGGACGCUGCCGAAGGUAGGAUUGGCGACUGGGGUGAAGUCGUAACAAGGUAUC
rnacentral:rRNA from 1 species